CAUGUGCAAAAAAAAGAAAGAUUGAAGUUUUCUCAUUUCUUUAUUUGCUGAAUUUUAAUGCAAAUUUAUAAGUCCGAGUUAAACAAAUAAAACAAAUAUAAGAAUCGUGACUUAAUAAAAAAAAAGAGAGAAAAAAUACCAAAGGAACAAGCAAAAAGUAAAAAAGAACCGACAACUACAUGGCAAAAAACGAAAAAGAACAAAAGAUAAACAACAGUAUACAAACAUAACAUAUAACACUAGAAACUGAGCAAAACGAACCCCAUGGAUGACCUCAUGUGCCCCGAAAUUGGAAGCAGACUCUGCUCAAACUGUGGCAACC
rnacentral:lncRNA from 1 species